rnacentral:lncRNA from 1 species
AAUUGUGACUGGUCUUGCUGAAAGCGAUUUAGGCCUCAAGUUGGGGCCACUAAUCUACGCACUGGCCUUUCGGAGCCUGCCUCGGAGGCAAUGGAACCCUCAUUGGAGCCUCAGCCAACGUUGUCUGCGCCGGAGUAGCGGAGCAGCAUGGCUACAAGUUCAGCUUCUUCGAGUUUUUUAGGAUUGGUUUCCCGCUAAUGGUGCUCACAACGGCCUUGUCAACCACGUGGCUCCUUGCCUGCCACGUCGCCAUGGACUGGGAUAUCUGAAAGCCCCA